CCUGGUGGCUCAGAAGGUAAAGUGUCUGCCUGUGAUGCGGAAGACCUGGGUUCAAUCCCUGGAUCAGGA
rfam:Ovis aries breed Texel chromosome 6, whole genome shotgun sequence.